CCCCCCCCCCCCCCGUCCCGAAAUACUUGUCGGAGAAAUGGAUAAAAAUUGAUGUAUCUAGAACUAAAAUACAUCUAGAUACAUCCAUUUCUCCGACAAGUAUUUCUGGACGGAGGGAGUAUAUU
rfam:Triticum aestivum genome assembly, contig: Triticum_aestivum_CS42_TGACv1_scaffold_374864_5AL